rnacentral:sRNA from 1 species
UUUAAAUGGCAAAGAAGUGGUACAGUAUUCUAGUCAGUACAGCUAUUUUUGAAAACGGGGCUAAAAAUCCGUUAAAGGGCAUAUCGAUGAAGUUCCUGGUUGAGGCUUUCGACGCCCAGUUGAGGGUCUUUUCUGGGAGUAAAAAGGAUGGGGCGACUUGCAACGGCAUGCAGGCGUUGACCCUGCCUUUGUGGAGACUUGUUAUAAAUACUAUACAGUAAUUAUGACAUGAUAAACUUGUGGUUUUAAUUGAAUUACCGCAUAGUAGCCUGCCUUGAGUGAAAUAGGCGGAUGAUAAGUUCGAUUCUACCUGAUUUAGGCCUAAAAUGUGUAGAAUUAUGUUAUCGAAACCUAAUUUGCAAAAGAGGCUGAGAAAUAGGCUGACUGUCAGAGGAAAACUCCUAGACUGUUCAGAUGAGAGGUAUUUUAGGGAUUACAGUGCGGACUAAAUGGUAAUCUAGCCUUGCUUUUGGCAACAGAGCAGAGAUGGAAUUAAAGGGAAACCACUGUUAUGGCGACAUGCAGUUUCUAUCUGGGAAAUCCAACUAGACCUUAAGCCGUAAAAUUUACCUAUUAUACUGCCACUUUUAUGGCUGAUAGC